rnacentral:rRNA from 1 species
GAUGAACGCUGGCGGCGUGCCUAAUACAUGCAAGUCGAGCGAACGGACGAGAAGCUUGCUUCUCUGAUGUUAGCGGCGGACGGGUGAGUAACACGUGGAUAACCUACCUAUAAGACUGGGAUAACCUCGGGAAACCGUAGCUAAUACCGGAUAAUAUUUUGAACCGCAUGGUUCAAAAGUGAAAGACGGUCUUGCUGUCACUUAUAGAUGGAUCCGCGCUGCAUUAGCUAGUUGGUAAGGUAACGGCUUACCAAGGCAACGAUGCAUAGCCGACCUGAGAGGGUGAUCGGCCACACUGGAACUGAGACACGGUCCAGACUCCUACGGGAGGCAGCAGUAGGGAAUCUUCCGCAAUGGGCGAAAGCCUGACGGAGCAACGCCGCGUGAGUGAUGAAGGUCUUCGGAUCGUAAAACUCUGUUAUUAGGGAAGAACAUAUGUGUAAGUAACUGUGCACAUCUUGACGGUACCUAAUCAGAAAGCCACGGCUAACUACGUGCCAGCAGCCGCGGUAAUACGUAGGUGGCAAGCGUUAUCCGGAAUUAUUGGGCGUAAAGCGCGCGUAGGCGGUUUUUUAAGUCUGAUGUGAAAGCCCACGGCUCAACCGUGGAGGGUCAUUGGAAACUGGAAAACUUGAGUGCAGAAGAGGAAAGUGGAAUUCCAUGCGUAGCGGUGAAAUGCGCAGAGAUAUGGAGGAACACCAGUGGCGAAGGCGACUUUCUGGUCUGUAACUGACGCUGAUGUGCGAAAGCGUGGGGAUCAAACAGGAUUAGAUACCCUGGUAGUCCACGCCGUAAACGAUGAGUGCUAAGUGUUAGGGGGUUUCCGCCCCUUAGUGCUGCAGCUAACGCAUUAAGCACUCCGCCUGGGGAGUACGACCGCAAGGUUGAAACUCAAAGGAAUUGACGGGGACCCGCACAAGCGGUGGAGCAUGUGGUUUAAUUCGAAGCAACGCGAAGAACCUUACCAAAUCUUGACAUCCUUUGACAACUCUAGAGAUAGAGCCUUCCCCUUCGGGGGACAAAGUGACAGGUGGUGCAUGGUUGUCGUCAGCUCGUGUCGUGAGAUGUUGGGUUAAGUCCCGCAACGAGCGCAACCCUUAAGCUUAGUUGCCAUCAUUAAGUUGGGCACUCUAAGUUGACUGCCGGUGACAAACCGGAGGAAGGUGGGGAUGACGUCAAAUCAUCAUGCCCCUUAUGAUUUGGGCUACACACGUGCUACAAUGGACAAUACAAAGGGCAGCGAAACCGCGAGGUCAAGCAAAUCCCAUAAAGUUGUUCUCAGUUCGGAUUGUAGUCUGCAACUCGACUACAUGAAGCUGGAAUCGCUAGUAAUCGUAGAUCAGCAUGCUACGGUGAAUACGUUCCCGGGUCU